rnacentral:lncRNA from 10 species
GCAUUUUUUUCUUUGCUUAAUUGCAUCAAUUCUCCCCGUUGCUUACUGUAGCACAUAAAGUGCUUCAAGAUUUGUACUUCCCCUACCGUUCUAGCUUACUUUCCUUCCGCUCCUCACGUGUCCUGUAUUCAAGUCUUACUGAACAUUCUCCAUCACAUCUGAGACUUUUCACACCUCCCUCCCACACCCAGCCUACUGGGUGGACUCAGGCAUAUUCCCUAAGACUUAGUUCAAAUACUAAUGACUCUGUGAAAUUUCUGUCUGCUUUCCUUCCCAAGGUAGGAUUAAGUGCCUCUCCACUAGCUGCCCUGGUCUCCACCAUUCUAUGUCCACACUUCUAAGACAGUAUGUUGUUAAUACUGUUUUGUAGUAUCAUAUAUUGUAGUUGUCUGUAUAAACAUCUUCCUUUAUAAUAUUUCUCACUUUAUACUACUUCUUCAGAAAAAAGGAUUAUAUAUUAUUUCACCUUUGUAGCCUGAGGGCUUAGCACAUCGCCUAUCAUUUCUAUGUAGUAAAAGAAAACUAUAACUUUCAGGACUUAGAAAACAACAGCUAUUCUAAGAAGUGUCUCUUGCCCAACCAGAGAAGGUAUAAGUCUCUUAACCAGUAGUCUGUACCAUUUUCCAGACCCUGAGGAACUGCUAUACUGGCUAUUCAGUUUGUCCUACCCGUUGGACAAACAUUAAAAAACAACUUUUUUUCUUAAGAAUCAAACUUUCUGUGCUUCCCAACUCCCUAAAAUGCCUUAGGAUUUUUCCACUUAGAUUUAGUUUGCAGGUUAAGUUAUAAAUGUCUACAAAACAACUGCUUUGCAGGAAAAUCCCUGACCCCCUAAGAAUGAUCUCUCUCACUGUUCCAGACAGUCCAUUUUAUAAGGAAGUGACAUACCUCCUCAUCAGCACUCCCCUCAGUAUACCCAAUAAUACAAUCUUAACUCCAUUAUUGAGAGUCAAAAGACUUGAGACGUUCAACUUAUUUGAGCCUACAUUUCCUUAACUAUAAAAAGAUAGGUAUAUGAACAACUACCUCCCAGGGUUAUUGCAAGGAUUCAUUUCUUAAGAACCUAUUAUACUAAGGGCUGGUCAUGGUGGCUCAUGCCUAUAAUCCCAACACUUUGGGAGACUAAGGCAGGAGGAAGGAUAGCUUGAGGUCAGGAGCUCAAGACCAGCCUGGGUAACAAAGUGAGACCCCCAUCUCUACAAAACAUGAAAAAAAUAGCUGGGUGUGGUGGCAUAUGCCUGUAGUGGUGGCAUGUGCCUGCACGUGCAGUGCAGCUACUUGAGACUGGGGUGGGAGGAUCCAUUGAGACCAGGAGAUCAAGGCUGCAGUGAGCUCUGAUCACUCCACUGCACUCCAGCCUGGGUGACAGACUGAGACUCUGUCUUUCAAAAAAAAUUUUUAACUAAAAAAAUUUUAAAAGAACCUAAUGUGCACACUAGGCACUGUUCUCAAUCAGUGCUGGUGAUGUGGCAGUGAAUGACACAAACUCCCUGAUCCUGAAAAGCUUUUAUUUUA